ACCCUUGCCAUGGUGCGGGAGCAGGAAACUGCCCUAAAUCUAUCUUUCGAGAUAUUUAGUCACACCUAAAGCGAGGGUUU
rnacentral:sRNA from 1 species